ACAACCCAAUGUUUAGCACAAAAUAUUUGCACCGAUCAAGAAAGGUUGUCCAGUGAUGACUGUGAUUCCAGUAACCAGGAACCUCCCCCUGUUUUCCAAUAUAUGGAGCAUGAUGCACCAUAUGGAAGACAACCAUUAGCAGAUAUGAUUUCAGUAUUUGCAUGUAAGUUUCCUGAUCUAAAUACAUACAAGAGCUGUGAUCUUCUCCCGUCCAGUUGGAUCUCUGUAGCCUGGUAUCCCAUAUACCGGAUACCAACAGGACCUACGCUACAAGAUCUAGAUGCUUGCUUUUAACAUUCCAUUCACUGUCAACAACACCUGACGGUGAGUGCUCGUGUUUCUUCUUGGAUAGGACAAGCCGACGACCUGCGGCAAGAAACAGAAACAAAGCGCCCAGAUUGAUGUAACGACUCAGCAGCUCGGUGAGCCCAGGCCGGCCUUCAACAACGGCAUCCAGCGCAAAGCUGUGGAACCGGAGAGAGUUUCUAGGGCUGCAUCGUCAACACGAACAACCAAACCAGCAAGAGGCGUUCCGGCACCACCACCUUCCCGGACUGGGAAGGAGAGGAAGGUUGCCGUGAAGCUGUCGAGGUUCCAAACAGCAACCGCUUGAGCUCGUGCAGAAUCAGGGAGGAAACUGUUGUUUUGUCGUCUGUCUGCUCCAACGACGAGUUCUAGAUUUCAUUGACUUGUGUACACUGAUUCUUUCUACGAAUCGUGUGGUGGAAUUCUUCUACUCUGUUACCCGUACUACCACCAGCAGGAUUCUUUCUGUAAUAUGUUUUGGAAUUUGAUCCUUUCUGUAAUUUAAACUGGGGAAAGGAGGCCCAGCCGCCCACCCAGCCCAUGAGACAUUUUUAUCUCA